rnacentral:rRNA from 1 species
AGAGUUUGAUCCUGGCUCAGGACGAACGCUGGCGGCGUGCUUAACACAUGCAAGUCGAACGGGCUCUUCGGAGCUAGUGGCGGACGGGUGAGUAACGCGUGAGGAUCUGCCCUUAGGACGGGGACAACAGCUGGAAACGGCUGCUAAUACCCGAUGUGCCGAGAGGUGAAACUAUUUGGCCUGAGGAUGAGCUCGCGUCUGAUUAGCUAGUUGGAGUGGUAAUGGCACACCAAGGCGACGAUCAGUAGCUGGUCUGAGAGGAUGAUCAGCCACACUGGGACUGAGACACGGCCCAGACUCCUACGGGAGGCAGCAGUGGGGAAUUUUCCGCAAUGGGCGAAAGCCUGACGGAGCAAGACCGCGUGCGGGAGGAAGGCCUAUUGAUUGUAAACCGCUUUUGAUAGGGAAGAAGAUCUGACGGUACCUAUCGAAUCAGCAUCGGCUAACUCCGUGCCAGCAGCCGCGGUAAUACGGGGGAUGCAAGCGUUAUCCGGAAUUAUUGGGCGUAAAGCGUCCGUAGGUGGCUUUAAAAGUCUGUUGUCAAAUCGCGAGGCUUAACCUCGUACAGGCAGUGGAAACUAUAAGACUAGAGUGCGGUAGGGGUAGAGGGAAUUUCCAGUGUAGCGGUGAAAUGCGUAGAUAUUGGAAAGAACACCGGUGGCGAAGGCGCUCUACUGGGCCUGCACUGACACUGAGGGACGAAAGCUAGGGGAGCGAAAGGGAUUAGAUACCCCUGUAGUCCU